rnacentral:rRNA from 1 species
GGGCCCGCACAAGCGGUGGAGUAUGUGGUUUAAUUCGAUGCAACGCGAAGAACCUUACCAGGGUUUAAAUGCAGAACGACAGGGGUGGAAACACCCCCUUCUUCGGACGGACUGCAAGGUGCUGCAUGGUUGUCGUCAGCUCGUGCUGUGAAGUGUCGGGUUAAGUCCCAUAACGAGCGCAACCCCCCAUUUCUAGUUGCCAGCGGUUCGGCCGGGGACUCUAGAGAAACUGCCAGCGUAAGCUGUGAGGAAGGUGGGGAUGACGUCAAAUCAUCACGGCCCUUACAUCCUGGGCCACACACGUGCUACAAUGGUAGGGACAACAGGUUGCCAACCCGCGAGGGUGAGCCAAUCCCAAAACCCUAUCUCAGUUCGGAUCGGAGUCUGCAACUCGACUCCGUGAAGUUGGAAUCGCUAGUAAUCG